ACGGAGGGUGCAAGCGUUAAUCGGAAUUACUGGGCGUAAAGCGCACGUAGGCUGUAGUGUAAGUCAGGGGUGAAAUCCCACGGCUCAACCGUGGAACUGCCUUUGAUACUGCACAACUUGAAUCCGGGAGAGGGUGGCGGAAUUCCAGGUGUAGGAGUGAAAUCCGUAGAUAUCGGGAGGACCACCUGUGGCGAAGGCGCCUAACUGGAACGAACCUGACGGUGAGUAACGAAAGCCAGGGGCGCGAACCG
rnacentral:rRNA from 1 species